rnacentral:tRNA from 1 species
GCCUGGCUGGCUCAUUUGGUAGAGCAUGCAACUCUUGAUCUUUCAGGGUUGUGGGUUUGAGCCCCAUGCUGGGUG